GAUGGUGUAGCUCAGUAGGAUAGAGCAGCAGCCUUCUAAGCUGUCGGUCGGUGGUUCAAAUCCAUCCACCAUCGCCA
rnacentral:tRNA from 1 species